rnacentral:rRNA from 1 species
UGGAGGAAAGUAGGGGAUCGUAAGACCUCGCGUUGUUAGAGCGGCCGAUAUCUGAUUAGCUAGUUGGUGGGGUAAGGGCCUACCAAGGCGACGAUCAGUAGUUGGUCUGAGAGGACGACCAGCCACACUGGGACUGAGACACGGCCCAGACUCCUACGGGAGGCAGCAGUGGGGAAUUUUGGACAAUGGGCGCAAGCCUGAUCCAGCAAUGCCGCGUGAGUGAAGAAGGCCUUCGGGUUGUAAAGCUCUUUCAGUCGAGAAGAAAAGGCUGCAGUGAAUAACUGUAGUUUAUGACGGUAUCGACAGAAGAAGCACCGGCUAACUACGUGCCAGCAGCCGCGGUAAUACGUAGGGUGCGAGCGUUAAUCGGAAUUACUGGGCGUAAAGGGUGCGCAGGCGGUUUUGUAAGUCAGAUGUGAAAUCCCCGGGCUUAACCUGGGAAUUGCGUUUGAAACUACAAAGCUAA